UUAAAUGCAAUCAAAGCUUCAUUUGAUACAUGUCCAGGAGUCAGGCCAUGUGAAUAAAAGCCUUUCAGUAUGUGUAGAGUACAUUGCCCUUGAGUAACCAGAGCCCACUCUUGCAAAUAGGUCUAUAGAGGUACUAGAUGACGCCCAACUCUUAUAUGUUCACUUGUGGCACACUGAUGGCCUGAAAAGGAGAAAAAGAACAAACCUUCUUCCAGUUUGCAGAGGCUUCCUGACUGAUCGCCUGGAGGCGAUCCUAACUCACCACAGGCAAACCAGAACAAAUUCAUCCACUGCCCAGCUUCGUAUGUUGGAAUCACACGAAGGACACUUAAAUAACACCACAGCAGCAAGCUGUGAUGCUCUCUCCUACCCUGCACAACCAAAGGCCACGUGGCCUGUCUGGUUCUGGGAGGCAGACUGGUCUUUUGGCUGAAUGGAAGCUCAAGCUGUAAAGACAAACUAUUCAGUCAUGUCUGUUUCCCAAGAACUCCGUGCGUGCAAAAGCAGCAGCAUUAUUUGCCUACAGUUUGUGCUUCAGGGAUGAAUUACAUUUAUUGCUGCUACGUUUAGGUGGUGAAUAGGUUGGACUAAUGAAAAUAGGUUGGACUAAUGAAAAUAGGUUGGACUAAUGAUCAAUUGAAAGACUCUUCUUUGCUAAUUGCAAUUUUUUUUGGUAUGAGUAUAUUCAAAUGCCACAGGUAGCUGGCACCUUCUAGAUAGGCAUUCCUUCUUGAUGGCACCAGAAGGAAUGCCUCCUAAUACAAUACCUGUUUUGCCGUGCACGUGAAAACCAUUAUAAAUCUGAAGAAAACGAUACAGUUCCUCCAAUAUUUUAUUCAUACGCUAGUACAUGGAGAUUUAACUGAUAGAUUAAAUGAUGACAUCUCAUGUCAUAGCCCUGUUAAAGAGAGAUUGCCUCUAAAAGUAAUCACAGGUAUUUCUGUCUGGCUUACUGCAAGGGGGAGAAUUUAAAGAUACCUUGAGGUUGAUGUGGAGAGGCUGAGAAACAAGUUUAGUCUUAGGCAGGGCUGUCAAACUUGAAGCUGCUGGGCUGAGCAUAAUAUUUUCUGACCACCAUGGCCAGCAGUGAGCAUAAUGAACUUCUUUUUUUUUUUAAGCUUGUCUGAGACUAACAAGACUGGGUUUAUCUGGUGCCUUGCUUACUGCAGCUCUUAGCUUGGAGAUGUCUUGAGGUCAUCAGGGCUGCCUUUGGGGUAUAGUAUGUAAUACCACAGUGAACUGGAGUAUAUAUAUGAUAUCACAGUGAAAAGCCAGGGUUGCGAGUCUGACACCCCCCUCCUCCAGAGAACACAGUGGAAAUGGUUGUUUUAGCAAGCACUUAAACCAAAUGGGCUGGUUCCAGUGUAAGGUAUUCGUAGAGCACAUCUUUCCCUAACUUCCCCUUCCCCAUGGAGCUUGCUGUUUUUUCUGAAACUGCUCUCUGAGAAUCGGGAAAGACUCAUAAGCAAAUCGUGCCACAGGUCAGGUUGCUGUAGCAGUGCUUAAGAAUCACACAGAAUUGCCUUUUUUCUCCCUCUUCUGCUUGCGACUUUCAUCAAUGGACGAAGGGGAGGCUGGCAAAUUUGCCCAGUUGUUCACCACCCCCAUCCCCAGCACUGCUGUGACCCAUCCCGGGAUGUGUUUUGCUUCCAAGGCUGUCACAGUUCUCAAAGAACAGUUUUGAGACAAACAGCAGGCUGCAUGAGGAAGAAGAAGAUGGGGGGGGGGAAUCACUCCACUACCUCUUUCCAUUAGUGCUUCCACUGGGCCCAACCCAUUAUGUCCGCAAAAAUGUCCACUACUUACUGUUGCCAUUUUGGUGGCAAGUGAUAUGAGAUGUGUGUAGGAGGAGCUGUCCAGCCCAGCAUUUAACUGACACAGUCCCUAUUUGCCUGGCGUUAGUCAUCACCCAAAUUGUUGCAUUCCAUUUGAAAUUGGAGGAGCUGAUCACACUGUGUUGUGAUUGGAAUCCCCCCCCCCAUGCUUGUUAACUUGUGUGAUAAAGUUUUAAUGCCAUCUUGAACACUGAAAUGUAUGUGAGUAAAAAUAAUAAAUGGAAGCUGAUUUAAGAAAAUGA